rnacentral:lncRNA from 12 species
AUGGGAGGGAAAAGUUCCAGCCUUGAGAACGCCGAGAAUUCCCGGAUUUCUGCAUUUCCCGAAGUUUUUUCCAGCCAGGAAUUUUCCUGCGCUGCCUCAUGCCAGGCCAUGUCCACAGCUGGAAUUUUGGGAUCGCUGCUCCAAGUGGAGGAAAACUUCUCCUCCUGCCUGGCCCGGAUCGACGCCCUCAUCCUCAAACCUCUGCUCCAGGCAGAGCCCCACGAUCCCAAGGAAAAGGAGAACUUCCAGCUCUUGGUGCUCCUCAACGAUCGUUUCCAAGCCCUCUGGAAUUUCACAGAAGAAAAUUCUCGGAACCUGAGGGGAAAACGAGGCAGCUCCGACUCCGGCUGCAUCCAGGAUUUUUACAUCCUCUGGAAAGGAGAUCUUUUCCUGAGCCUCUACAUCCAAUAUUUCGUCACCUUCGCCAACUUUGUCGUGGUCCAGGGCUUCGAGCAGGCCACCAAGAGCAAGAGUGAGGCCUGGAAGCUCCACAAGGCGCUGCUGAAGGAAUUCCUGCGGGAUUUCACCUCGGAGAGCUCCCUGGCGCCCGCCCUGCACGCUGCCCUCCACAAACCCUUCCGGGAUCACAUCCAGAGCUACCUCCAGCUCCUCUCCCAGCUCCAGGGGCAGCUCCAGGAGGGAUCUGAGCAGGAUGUGGUGGCUGCUGUCAUCCGGGAAUUUGGGAAGCUGGAAUCUUUCAUCAGCCAGGUCCUGGAUGAAGCCUGCUUUACCAAGGAGCUCUGGAAAUCCUUGGGCUACAAAUUCACCGAACUCCUGCCUGGAAUUCCAUGUCCUCUCCCAAUCCUGGCUUUUCCCAGGACGUGCUGUGUGUCCCUGAGAGGAGGCUCCUGGAGGACAGCAGGAACCUCCCCAUCUCUUCUGGCAGCGCCCGCUCCGAGCGGCUCCUGCUCUUCGACGACGUCCUGGUGCUCAUCCAGGUCAGGCCGGGAUCCUCCGGAGGGACUGGGGAGGGAGCACGGAUAAACAACACUAAAACUCCAGUGGAGUGGCAGAAAUGACAGGAAUUUC